rnacentral:rRNA from 1 species
UACAGAGGGGGCAAGCGUUAUUCGGAAUUAUUGGGCGUAAAGGGCGCGUAGGCGGCCUUUCAAGUGACGGGUGAAAGCCCUCGGCUUAACCGAGGAACUGCCUGUCAGACUGGAAGGCUUGAGACCGGGAGAGGUGAGUGGAAUUCCCAGUGUAGCGGUGAAAUGCGUAGAUAUUGGGAGGAACACCAGUGGCGAAGGCGGGUCUCUGGGCCGAUACUGACGCUGAGGAGCGAAAGCGUGGGGAGCAAACAGG